UGGGGAAUCUUGGGCAAUGGGCGAAAGCCUGACCCAGCAACGCCGCGUGAAGGAUGAAGUAUUUCGGUAUGUAAACUUCGAAAGAAUAGGAAGAAUAAAUGACGGUACUAUUUAUAAGGUCCGGCUAACUACGUGCCAGCAGCCGCGGUAAUACGUAGGGACCAAGCGUUGUUCGGAUUUACUGGGCGUAAAGGGCGCGUAGGCGGCAUGACAAGUCACUUGUGAAAUCUCUGGGCUUAACCCAGAACGGCCAAGUGAUACUGUCGCGCUAGAGUGCAGAAGGGGCAAUCGGAAUUCUUGGUGUAGCGGUGAAAUGCGUAGAUAUCAAGAGGAACACCUGAGGUGAAGACGGGUUGCUGGGCUGGACACUGACGCUGAGGCGCGAAAGCCAGGGGAGCAAACGGGAUUAGAUACCCAUGUAGUCCCUGAGCGGGCUGGCAAGGCGCAU
rnacentral:rRNA from 1 species